rnacentral:sRNA from 1 species
UUGACAGUAGUAAGGGGUAAUGUCCUGUAUUUACAAAAUAUGAACAGCACAGGCAAUAGGGAGUGCAGGGUGCCACAUACUGCUUUAUAAAUAUAUUUUAGCCCUGUUCCAAAGAAACCAUUUCUGACAGUCUGAGAAGGGAGUUUAUUCUCCAUGGCCCAUUCAAUCAUUUGCCUCA